GGGAUUCCUUAAGUAAUGGCGAAUGAACAAGGAACUGCUCAACUUGAAAAUCGGGGCUUCUGGCCUUGAAUUGUAAUUUUGAAAUGUAUUGCCAAUGGAGGCGCAGGUGCAAGCCAAUUGAAAGAAAGCGUCAAAGAAGGUGAAAAUCCUUUUUGUCAUUUGCAGCCCUCCGUGCACGGUAUAUAUUUGACGAGUCACACUCCUCGGCAUUGGAAUGCAAAGUGGGUGGUAAAUUUCAUGUAAAGAUUAAUAUAUUAUUGAGACUGAUAGCGAACAAGUACCAUGAGGGAAAUAUGAAAAGGACUUUGAAAAGAGAAUUAAAAGAGUCUGCACUUGCUGAACAGAAAGCAAACAGAAGUGAUUAUGCUUGGUAAGAUUGUUGCGUCUUGUUGUUCUGCAACUUGGGCGCAGUGGUUCUUACCUUGUCUGCCAGCAUCUUUUCUGCAAAUCAGAACCCUGGCACAUGACUGGUAAUUCGCCUGCGGGUGUUGGAAUGCAUGUGUUUGCUAUGAUUUGUGAUUAGAUUUGUGCGUGUGGUGCUUCGGUGUGUGGCUCUUUGUUGGGGAGGAAUUCUCCUCCGCCCUGCUGAAUCCCUUGCGCUACAUCGCUGGCAAAAUGUUUCUGCUUGACCCGUCUUGAAACACGGACCAAGGAGUCUAACAGAUGUGCGAGUUCAUGGGUGUCCAAACCCUUAGCGCAAUGAAAGUAUUGGCUGGGAUAUUUGCACCAGCAGCCGACCGAUUAGCAGACAGAGGUUUGAGUUUGAGCACAUCUAUUAGGACCCGAAAGAUGGUGAA
rnacentral:rRNA from 1 species